UAUCAAUUGUUACAGAGUCGACCCUCACCUUGAGUGCGCGUCUAACUUGUAGUACAUGGUGUAAAUGGAUUUGUUUUGGGACCCAGAAAGCAACGAACGUGACCGCAACGUCUUGUGUCUCUUUUUGACAGUUAUGGGUUAUCCCAGUCAUGUGUUUAUACUUUUAUGUGUAAAUACGUACGACACAGAGACUAGAUACCAAACUAGGCGUACCGCUGUAUCAUUUCUUUAAACCAGAGGAAGGUUGCGGCAAUAACAGGUCUGUGAUGCCCUUAGAUGUUCUGGGCUGCACACGUGCUACAAUGAUCAGCACAGUAAGCAUCUCAAUUUUUACAACACCGUCAACACACGUAGUGAGCUGCUUGAUCUCUCAUUCAUGCAUUCUGUGCUUCGGUGCAGUGUGCAAUGUGAGUUGUCUAAUGCGCGCGGUUAUGCCUGUACCGAGAGGUGACGUCGGGUAAACAUUCUCUAAUGCUGACCUAUUUUUCUGAAAUAUGCACAACUCUAAUAUGACAUUCAUUCCCGGGAGGACUAGUUGCCUCUUUGUGUGAGUGUAAUGCAAACAUGAAUAGCGACUGUCGCUGUUUACUCAUAUGUGCCCCUGUCAAUUCGUGGUGGGGACAGACCAUUGCUAAUUGUUGGUCUCGCUUAUAACUAGGAAUGCCUUGUACGGGUCUUUGGUUCAACAAACCACCCGGAAUACGUCCCUGCCCUUUGUACACACCGCCCGUCGCUCUUACCGAUGAACUCGUUUGUGAGUUUUAAGGACUGGAUUAAGCUAUAUGCGUAACCUAUGGAAAUUCAUGCGAAUGAACUGGUUUAAAGGAAAGAGAAGUCGUAACAAGGCAUCAGGGUACCGAGCUCGAAU
rnacentral:rRNA from 1 species